rnacentral:lncRNA from 1 species
UCAUAGAAAUAUUGUAGAUUUGGGGUUGUGGUUUAGAAAUUAGGAUAACAAGAAUUUUUGUUGAUAGAUGAGUAUUUUUUUAAUUUUUUGAUCAAUAAGUUACAUUUUUAAAAAAUAAUUCUCAAAAAUUCUAUUUUAGGAAAGUUUUCAUUUUUUAUUGAAAUAUUGUAGAUUUGGGGUUGUGAUUUAGAAAUUAGGAUAAUAAUAAUUUUUGUUGAUAGGUGAGUAUUCUUUUAGAUUUUUUGAUCAAUAGUUGUAUUUUUUAAAUAUAAUUCUCAAAAAUUCUAUUUUAGGAAAGUUUUCAUUUUUUCAUAGAAAUAUUGUAGAUUUGGGGUUGUGGUUUAGAAAUUAGGAUAACAAGAAUUUUUUGUUGAUAGAUGAGCUUUCUUUUAGAUUUUUUUAUCUAUAGUUGUAUUUUUUAAAUAUAAUUCCCAAAAAUUCUAUCUUAGGAAAGUUUUCAUUUUUUCAUAGAAAUAUUGUAGAUUUAGGGUCGUGGUUUAGAAAUUAGGAUAACCAAAAAAAUUUUUGAUAGAUGAGUAUUUUUUUAGAUUUUUUUAUCAAUAGGUUGUAUAUUUUAGAUAAAUUCAGAAAAUUUCUAUUUUAGGAAAGUUUUCAUUUUUUUUAUAGAAAUAUUGUAGAUUUGGGGUUGUGAUUUAGAAAUUACCAUAACAAGAAUUUUUGUUGAUAGAUGAGUAUUCUUUUAGAUUUUUUGAUCAAUAGUUGUAUUUUUUAAAAAUAAUUUUCAAAAAUUCUAUUUUAGGAAAGUUCUCAUUUUUUAUAGAAAUAUUGUAGAUUUGGGGUUGUGAUUUAGAAAUUAGGAUAAAAAUAAUUUUUGUUGAUAGGUGAGUAUUCUUUUAGAUUUUUUGAUCAAUAGUUGUAUUUUUUAAAUAUAAUUCUCAAAUAUUCUAUUUUAGGAAAGUUUUCAUUUUUUCAUAGAAAUAUUGUAGAUUUGGGGUUGUGAUUUAGAAAUUAGGAUAAUAAUAAUUUUUGUUGAUAGGUGAGUAUUCUUUUAGAUUUUUUGAUCAAUAGUUGUAUUUUUUAAAUAUAAUUCUCAAAAAUUCUAUUUUAGGAAAGUUUUCAUUUUUUCAUAGAAAUAUUGUAGAUUUGGGGUUGCGGUUUAGAAAUUAGGAUAACAAGAAUUUUUGUUGAGAGAUGAGUAUUCUUUAGAUUUUUUGAUCAAUAGUUGUAUUUUUUAAAUAUUAUUCUCAAAAAUUCUAUUUUAGAAAAGUUUUUAUUUCUUCAUAGAAAUAUUGUAGAUUUAGGGUCGUGGUUUAGUAAUUAGGAUAACAAGAAUUUUUGUUGAAAGAU